rnacentral:rRNA from 1 species
UACGUAGGUGGCAAGCGUUGUCCGGAUUUACUGGGCGUAAAGGGCGCGUAGGCGGCCUCGCAAGUCGAGUGUGAAAGCCCCGGGCUCAACCUGGGAACGGCGCGCGAGACGGGAGGGCUGGAGUUCGGGAGAGGAGCGUGGAAUUCCCAGUGUAGAGGUGAAAUUCGUAGAUAUUGGGAAGAACACCGGUGGCGAAGGCGGCGCUCUGGACCGAGACUGACGCUGAGGCGCGAAAGCGUGGGGAGCAAACAGG